rnacentral:rRNA from 1 species
AUUCCUACGGGGGGCAGCAGUAGGGAAUCUUCCACAAUGGACGAAAGUCUGAUGGAGCAACGCCGCGUGAGUGAAGAAGGGUUUCGGCUCGUAAAGCUCUGUUAGUAGUGAAGAAAGAUAGAGGUAGUAACUGGCCUUUAUUUGACGGUAAUUACUUAGAAAGUCACGGCUAACUACGUGCCAGCAGCCGCGGUAAUACGUAGGUGGCAAGCGUUGUCCGGAUUUAUUGGGCGUAAAGCGAGUGCAGGCGGUUCAAUAAGUCUGAUGUGAAAGACCUUGGGCC